rnacentral:misc_RNA from 1 species
CAUUCUCAAAAAGAACCCUUCUUGGUCUUGCGAUCGGGAAAGGCCUCUUUUUGGACUUUGGAGGCUAUUGCUGGUCCCCCCUUGAUAGCCAGCUCCUCUUAAAUGAAUUAGUAGGGACCACUUUGCCGACCCUAGACGUGAUAAGAUGUUUCUGCGUCUUGGGUAGUCGCUCUGUCCUUUGGAAACCUGCUUCUAACAGUCUUGUCAAAAGACAGCGUUCGAGCCUUUCUCGUUGAUCGGGCAAGGCUUGACACUUUAUGAA